AUGCUCCCCACUAAUGGAAAGAUGACCCCCAAGAGCUCCAUCCUGAUAUCUUCAGCCCUACUGGAAAGAGCUUACUUUCCCAUUCAUUCUGAGGAAAUGACCAGAACUGAGUCUCAUGGGAGAUCAAUUGGAUUAUUUCCCCAGCCCUGGAGUUGGGAGGGUAGGGUCAGCCACACAGGAACUCCUUGAACUGAGAGUGUAGGCAGGAAAGUCUCCCAAAGGAAAUGAGGGUGCUGAUACCAAAAACGGGAACAGCAAAACAGCAGUCAGUGAAAAAUUAAGAUAUACACCCUAUGAAGUGAGCUCAGGAGACUGAUGUAAAAAAACAAAACCCAAAAAACAAAACAACACCAAACUUCCUUGUGUGACCCCAGGCUGGAAAUUGAUGUUUAAUCCAGCCAUGAAGGACGCAUGAUUUAUUAGGAAACUACAGUGUCUCCAGGAAGGGGCGAGGUGGACUGGGGCAGAUCCCCUUGGCUGAUUUGGGCCCCCACUCCCUCCCCUUUUAGCUUUAGCUUCAGAGACAGGAUUUCCUGGAGCAGGAGCUGCCGCUGUGGAGCCGGCUCCCAGACAAGUUGAAAUCUCUGGUCAAGGCCGCAUGCUACCAGACAGGAGAGAUGUUCGCAAUGAGCACAGCCCCAGGGACAAGAGAAGAGGAUGCUGACCGCCUCUGAAGUGUUACAGGGUGGUGGGAGACAGGGAGAUAAGUGGCAAAAAUUAAGAGGCUUUAGGCUCUGGCAGUAGGACUCAAAUUCCAGGCCACAGAUCAAUGCCUCCAUCUCUGGGCAGGAAUGACAAUUGCCACCUACAGGGAGAUGCAGUGAAGGGGGGAGGUGCCAGGAUUCACAGGACUUACAGACAGCAAGGAGACAGGUGCUCCCCACACGUGUUAAGACUGAAGAGACCCGUGCUAUGAGCCAAGGGACAAGAUGGGACAAGAUGCACUUGAUGGCAGCCUGGAGAAUCUGGCCCUGCUAGGACAGCUGCAACUGAGGAGACCUUACGGACAAAGGUUAAAACUCCUCAACAACCGGUUGUCGUCACAACACGGCCACUCGCCAUUCCACCAACCUGAGCCAAAGGGAGCACCUGUGAACCAGAAUGUCUGCAAAAGUCCCGAGAUUCCCUCCGACCAGGCCGUCUUGGGUGACAAAGCCGCUCCUGAACCAGUCAGUGUUGCGGGGAAACGGCAUGGGCUGAUUAUAGUCAAGCUUAGGUCAUAUU
rnacentral:lncRNA from 1 species